rnacentral:rRNA from 1 species
CCCUUAGAUGUUCUGGGCCGCACGCGCGCUACACUGAUGCAUUCAACGAGUUUUUCCUGGUCCGAGAGGAAUGGGUAACCUUUUGAAAGUGCAUCGUGCUAGGGAUAGACUAUUGCAAUUAUUGGUCUUCAACGAGGAAUUCCUAGUAGACGUAGUUCAUCAGACUGCAUCGAUUACGUCCCUGCCCUUUGUACACACCGCCCGUCGCUACUACUGAUUGGACGUUUAAGCAAGAUUUUUAAACACUGACAGUUAAUGGCUUCGGCCAAGACACAGUGAGAAGAAGAAGAUCGAGCUUACUUGUCUAGAGGAAGUAAAAGUCGUAACA